AUGACCCAAUUGGGAACUCAUGUCGGCUGGGUCGCCGGGACAAAGAGGAGGCUCGCGCACCGCGCCUUCGUCGACGCCAUCAAACACUUGAUCGGCUGGGGCGCUAGCCAGAUCAUGCCUUUUCUGAUAUCACACUACUGGGUUUGUAUAGUUGCAAUCCUCGAGCAUGAUAAUUGUGGUACACUGUACAUCAUAGAGAUGUCUCAUGAAGACGACGCCAAGCUAGGCAGCGGCGCUAGGCUGUACGUCGAGCCUCCGUCAGCCGCCUCCCUCCUCUGUUUUGAUCGGCUCUACUCCAACUUCGACCUACCACUGGUGCCCCGCCUCGACCUGCUCUACCCCGAUCUAGAUCUGCACCUCCCCGAGCUCCACUCCAUGGCACUCCUCCGCCAGACCCCGUCCAACCUUUAA
rnacentral:rRNA from 1 species